UACGAAGGGGGCUAGCGUUGCUCGGAAUUACUGGGCGUAAAGGGCGCGUAGGCGGAUAUUUAAGUUAGAGGUGAAAGCCCAGGGCUCAACCCUGGAAUAGCCUUUUAAUACUGGAUAUCUUGAGUUCGGGAGAGGUGAGUGGAACUCCGAGUGUAGAGGUGAAAUUCGUAGAUAUUCGGAAGAACACCAGUGGCGAAGGCGACUCACUGGCCCGAUACGUGACGCUGAGGCGCGAAA
rnacentral:rRNA from 1 species